rnacentral:rRNA from 1 species
UACGUAGGGGGCAAGCGUUGUCCGGAUUUAUUGGGCGUAAAGAGCGUGUAGGCGGCUUUGCAAGUCCGUUGUGAAAACUCGAGGCUCAACCUCGAGACGCCGGUGGAAACUGCAAAGCUAGAGUCCGGAAGAGGAGAGUGGAAUUCCUGGUGUAGCGGUGAAAUGCGCAGAUAUCAGGAAGAACACCCGUGGCGAAGGCGGCUCUCUAGUACGGUACUGACGCUGAGACGCGAAAGCGUGGGGAGCGAACAGG